UCGAUAUACUGCUGGCAUUCUUCGAGGUCAGUACGAGUUAUUCGAAUGCUGACGAUGAUUUAUAUGAGCCACGACUGUUUUGUUAUAAGGAAAUUAAUAAGAAAAGCCUGUUCAGUAGUGUUGUCUGCAAUAAGAAGAUCGUGAAAUUAG